AGGAACCCGGAAGUGGAGAUUGUUGUUUACUCCAGGUGGAGUUAUGGUGGCGUUGCUUCGUCUUUUCUGAGGGAGGAAGAGAGAGAGCUUGGAGAUGUGGGGUGCAGAGGCAGAUGAAGCUGUGGCCAUGAAGUCUCCUGCUGGGCUCAGUGGUGUUCCUUUCUGGAACAAUGUGGGGCUGGUUCAUUAAUUGGCUCAGGCUUCAGCUGGUGGGUUGGAUAUUUCUAUUGUUCUUAAAUGGUUCUUCCUGGAAUGGCCAUGAGAAGCUGAACUAUUGAAAGUCCCUGCCUGAAGUGGUGUUUAAAGAGCAAACCCUCAUGUUGGAUCUCAAAAGAAAAAUCAGACCACAGGAGGCCUGUGAGUCAGUGACAUUAACUCCUGCACUGCUGUGUCACUCUGCAUAUAUGAUACAAUUUAUUGUAUAUGAUCAGUAAACUGUAACUUGCCAGGGUUAAUUGUCAUUGACAACAUGCUGUUCAAGAGCAGGACUUCAAUUUCCACAUCCUUAUAAUGGUCUCAAUCUUUUUCUUCACCACACUUUUGCUAUUACCAUCGACUUCUGCAGACUGAGAAUCUCCUCAGGUGUACAUCAUGAUUUGACCCUCUAAGGAGCCAUUAUUACUUCUAUUACAAACAGUGGUUUUCCAUGACGUACAGUAUUUUCCACUGGAGUGCAAGUUUCCUCCAUAAAGUUUUCACACCUUUAUAAAUAAUCUGGAAUAGGAUAUUUCACAACCCCUUCCUUUUGUUUUAAUUGUUCAGAGUGUUGUUUCAUGACCAUGUGUAGGUUGUAUGUAAGAGCACAGAGUGUGCACAUUUGCCCCACAGAGACCAGUGACUUGGCCAUAGUACUUGAAUUUUAGCAUAAAGCUGCUUAGUGAUGCUCUCUCUGUCAAGCCUGACAUUUCCAUUCAAUCAUCUGUGAAGAGCUUCUUAGGUUUCAGUGAGAUGCAGCCUGGAUAGAAACAGUGUGUCCCCCAGGAUGCUACAGGUAUCUAUCAAGAUGUAAAGCCUCCUGGACGAGGGAGAUGUAUAAAACAACUGGCAGGUAGCUCAACCUUCACUCAGAGGAGAGGGAAACAUUAUGAAGAAUGGGCAGCAUUCAGGCUACUUGGUAGACCUGACCUUUUACUGGAAGCUCAGGGUUGCAGGGAAUCUUAGCCUGAUAGCAACCCGGCUAAUGUAAGCUAAAGCAAAGAAGGCUAACUGGAUGUGACAACAGGAUGGACUUUAAAAUCAUCUCAUGCCAGAUACACAGUUGGGUCUAAAUAAAGUGAUGCAUAGUGGGAAUUUACAAGUGAACAAGUAGGCAUCUCCAUAUCUGACAUCACAUCUGCGUCUGUUUACCUGGACCCUCCCCUUCCUGCCUCGUGAACUCAAAAUGCAGAAGCCGACCAACUUGAGUCAGUUCUGUUAAGAACUUGUGUCCAUGAAGACGUUUCCACUUUUAUUGCGUGUUGUCUUUAAAUUUUACACAUUUCAGGUAUACGGGGUCACCCAACUCUUUAUUAUUGCUUAUGUCCAAUUUUACUGGUGAAAGUGCCAUCUAAUCAGUACCUGAGGGUCUCCUGCUCAUCAGCAUGGACACCACAGGUUACGUGAUAUUAAUGAGUCUUUUCCUCACAGAAUCAAAGUAGAAAAACCUACAGAGAUGUUUCACAGCACACAGAAAAUUCCUCAAAUUCUUACCUUUUCUGUGAUGUAUAGGUACAGGUCAUUUUGUAAUGCGAAAGAAAACAUUUGAACUGUAAUAUAAUAGGCUGGGAUGACAUUGUAAAUUAUCAUCUUUCAAGUUUUCAGACUCUGUGUCCAGCUGGCAUUUGCCUAUUUUGUCAAAUUUGUAUGUCUGUGUGUAAUCAUUAACCACCGCUAUCCACCUCACUGAUAGUCUCGCUCUUUAUAAGACUCCCUGGGUAUUAUAUGACUAUAUUCACUUAUAUACCGUAAUGAACAUAUAGACAACACCUGUCAUGAUUGCACUCAAGGGCGACGCAGGCAGCCUUUCUUCACGAGUACAGAAAUUAACUUACCUGCAGUGAUUGAUUGUAGUGAGAUGAGAUACUGUAGAGGCCCAUAAUAUGAGCCGCGAGUCUGGAACAAGACAGCCAAAUGAGCCUUUAGGAUAAACCCGGGUUAUUGUUCUUAAGGGGAAUGCUUGGAAAGGGUGUGCUGCAGGUUUUAGGAUUUAUAAACACACACAUGGACUCAAGAGAUGAUGGAAUAUGCUGAGUUGUGGCUGGUAAAUUACACUUUGCUAGAUGUACAUGACUGUUUUGAGUAUAGCGUCUAUUGAAAACAAUGCAUCAGGCAGAACAGACACCUAGCACAGCAAAUUUAAAUUUUAUUUCUUUUACUUGUAUUUUAUGAGCAUAAGGCUAAAGAAAGUUUAAAGGGAAAUGAUAAGUCACGUAUAUGGUAGCUGAACUGAACCAUUUAAUAAUGUUAGGUGAAGCCCUCAAUACUCCACCACUAUGUGUCUAUGUUUGUGUAUCCAGCAUACUCAUUUCACUGUAUGUACUGUGUGUGUGUUUUUGUGUGGUAUGCACCAGUGUGUGGUUACAGAGCCUUUUCAUUUGUAAUCCACAUAUUGAAGAUCUUGGGUUUCCAGCCCGUAGCACACUGCUACUCAGGCCAGUUAGCAGGGAUUUCUCCAUUUUCUUCUUCUCACGUUUCUUUCUCUACAGUUAGGAAUGUUCUAUCCUCCAGAUCAGUGUGGCAUGACUAUAUAUAACAAUCUUAUAAAAUGUUUUGAAUAUGUUAAAAUUACCAAGAAACAUCUGACAAUAUAGGAAUGUGUGGAAUUGUAAUGAGAGGCUCCAUCUGUUAUCUCACACCUGACUAAAACGCCAUUAUCUGCCACUGUUGGUAUGUUUAUAGUUCACUUUGAAUAAAAGGCUGACGAGGACAAUUCAUUUCGUUAACGUCCAAUGACUGCACUUCUGGUGAAGGAGGAAAUUUCUGAGAGCACAUAUUAGCACACAACUUCAGGGCACAUAGAAAUGUUGACAUGUGGGCUAACAGUGUGGGUUCAUGGGUAAAGCACCC